GUGAGGCUCGUUAGCCGUGGGAGGCAAUUCACCUAGGAGAGCAAACUCCGAACAACAAACCCGGGCAGGUUGGGCUCGUGAGCCGUCAUAGGCAAUACACCUAGGAGAGCAAACUCCGAACAACAAACCCGGGCAGGUGGAGCUCGUCAGCCGUGGUAGGCAGUCUGCCUAGGAGAGCAAACUCCGAACAAUAAACCCGGGCAGGUGGAGCUCGUCAGCCGUGGUAGGCAGUCUGCCUAGGAGAGCAAACUCCGAACAAUAAACCCGGGCAGGUGGAGCUCGUCAGCCGUGGUAGGCAGUCUGCCUAGGAGAGCAAACUCUAAACAAACCCGGGCAGGUGGAGGUCGUCAGCCGUGGUAGGCAGUCUGCCUAGGAGAGCAAACUCUAAAUAAACCCGGGCUUGUGGUGCUCGUUAUACUGUCGUAGACAAUCCACGCGAUGGGAACACCAAAGAAAAGGAAAAUAAAAAAGAACACCAGAAAAAUGGAAAAUACAGAAACGAAACAUCAAGAAAAGAAACAAAAAGAUCAUCCACCUUUAGGCCCUAACAUCGCCAAAAUUAUGGGUGGGUCUCUUCUGGGGAGAAAGCGGCUCACCCAGACCAAAGAACAUCAACAAAAGGAUGAUAUGAAUAAAUGAACAUAAAAAAAACAAAGAAAAACACAUCAAGGAAAGAAAAAUAUAACAAACAUCAUCCACCUUCCGGCCCUGACUAACAUCACCAAAAUUAUGGGUGGGUCUCUUCUGGGGAGAAAGCGGCUCACCCAGACCAAAGAACAUCAACAAGGGAUGAUAUAGAAAAGAACACCCAAAAAAUAUGGAAAAAGAACAGAAAAAACAUCGAAAAAGAAAAGCAACAGAAAUAAAUGAGCAACAUCGAGAAAAGAGAAAUACAAAGAAACAUCAUCCACCUUUCGGCCCCAAACAACAUCACCAAAAUUAUGGGCGGGUCUCUUCUGGGAGGAAAGCGGCUCACCCAGACCAAGGAACAUCAACAAAAGGAUGAUUGGAAAAAAGAACACCAAAAAAGAACAUCAAAAAAGAAAACCAACAGCAAGAAAACACAAAGGAAAAAAGAAAGAAAAAGAAAAGAAAAAGAAAACAAAUAGAAAAAAGAAAAGAAAGAAAGAAAAGGAAAAAGAAAAAACAAAAUAACAAAAUAAAAUAAAAAUAAAUAAACAAAAUAAUAUAAACAAAUAAAUAAA